UACGUGAAAAAGUAUGGUUGUAAUCAAAGCCUCCCUCGAAGUUUUCCCAACGGUGACAGCCUAUGGGUUCUGCUGGUGCCUCAGCUCGGAUUGGUUGAAAGCUGACCGGGCUUGGGUGCAUGAUCGGUGGGCCCACUGGUGCAUCUCCGAGCGUGGAUUUACGGUAGGAACUGUUCAGACCGGACCGAAGGCCUGGGGUGAAGUUUUUGCUCCGGCAUCAGCUCCCGGUGUCCUGGCUCCGGACCGGACAGGCUCUGCAUGCCAACUUGUACAGCAAGCAACCUUUUGUUGUUGCGGUUGGCACUUCCCUAUCGAGUAGGUCGGUGUA
rnacentral:rRNA from 1 species